GCCGGGCGGGUGCUAUACAUGCAAGUCGAACGCUUCUUUUCCCACCGGAGCUUGCUCCACCGGGAAAAGAGGAGUGGCGAACGGGUGAGUAACACGUGGGUAACCUGCCCAUCAGAAGGGGAUAACACUUGGAAACAGGUGCUAAUACCGUAUAACAAUCGAAACCGCAUGGUUUCGUUUUGAAAGGCGCUUUACGGUGCCGCUGAUGGAUGGACCCGCGGUGCAUUAGCUAGUUGGUGAGGUAACGGCUCACCAAGGCCACGAUGCAUAGCCGACCUGAGAGGGUGAUCGGCCACAUUGGGACUGAGACACGGCCCAAACUCCUACGGGAGGCAGCAGUAGGGAAUCUUCGGCAAUGGACGAAAGUCUGACCGAGCAACGCCGCGUGAGUGAAGAAGGUUUUCGGAUCGUAAAACUCUGUUGUUAGAGAAGAACAAGGGUGAGAGUAACUGUUCACCCCUUGACGGUAUCUAACCAGAAAGCCACGGCUAACUACGUGCCAGCAGCCGCGGUAAUACGUAGGUGGCAAGCGUUGUCCGGAUUUAUUGGGCGUAAAGCGAGCGCAGGCGGUUUCUUAAGUCUGAUGUGAAAGCCCCCGGCUCAACCGGGGAGGGUCAUUGGAAACUGGGAGACUUGAGUGCAGAAGAGGAGAGUGGAAUUCCAUGUGUAGCGGUGAAAUGCGUAGAUAUAUGGAGGAACACCAGUGGCGAAGGCGGCUCUCUGGUCUGUAACUGACGCUGAGGCUCGAAAGCGUGGGGAGCAAACAGGAUUAGAUACCCUGGUAGUCCACGCCGUAAACGAUGAGUGCUAAGUGUUGGAGGGUUUCCGCCCUUCAGUGCUGCAGCUAACGCAUUAAGCACUCCGCCUGGGGAGUACGACCGCAAGGUUGAAACUCAAAGGAAUUGACGGGGGCCCGCACAAGCGGUGGAGCAUGUGGUUUAAUUCGAAGCAACGCGAAGAACCUUACCAGGUCUUGACAUCCUUUGACCACUCUAGAGAUAGAGCUUCCCCUUCGGGGGCAAAGUGACAGGUGGUGCAUGGUUGUCGUCAGCUCGUGUCGUGAGAUGUUGGGUUAAGUCCCGCAACGAGCGCAACCCUUAUUGUUAGUUGCCAUCAUUUAGUUGGGCACUCUAGCAAGACUGCCGGUGACAAACCGGAGGAAGGUGGGGAUGACGUCAAAUCAUCAUGCCCCUUAUGACCUGGGCUACACACGUGCUACAAUGGGAAGUACAACGAGUCGCGAAGUCGCGAGGCUAAGCUAAUCUCUUAAAGCUUCUCUCAGUUCGGAUUGUAGGCUGCAACUCGCCUACAUGAAGCCGGAAUCGCUAGUAAUCGCGGAUCAGCACGCCGCGGUGAAUACGUUCCCGGGCCUUGUACACACCGCCCGUCACACCACGAGAGUUUGUAACACCCGAAGUCGGUGAGGUAACCUUUUGGAGCCAGCCGCCUAAGUGCAUGAUU
rnacentral:rRNA from 1 species